rnacentral:rRNA from 1 species
AUUGAACGCUGGCGGCAUGCCUUACACAUGCAAGUCGAACGGCAGCACGGGUGCUUGCACCUGGUGGCGAGUGGCGAACGGGUGAGUAAUACAUCGGAACAUGUCCUGUAGUGGGGGAUAGCCCGGCGAAAGCCGGAUUAAUACCGCAUACGAUCUACGGAUGAAAGCGGGGGACCUUCGGGCCUCGCGCUAUAGGGUUGGCCGAUGGCUGAUUAGCUAGUUGGUGGGGUAAAGGCCUACCAAGGCGACGAUCAGUAGCUGGUCUGAGAGGACGACCAGCCACACUGGGACUGAGACACGGCCAAGACUCCUACGGGAGGCAGCAGUGGGGAAUUUUGGACAAUGGGCGAAAGCCUGAUCCAGCAAUGCCGCGUGUGUGAAGAAGGCCUUCGGGUUGUAAAGCACUUUUGUCCGGAAAGAAAUCCUUGGCCCUAAUACGGUCGGGGGAUGACGGUACCGGAAGAAUAAGCACCGGCUAACUACGUG